UACAGAGGGUGCAAGCGUUACUCGGAAUUACUGGGCGUAAAGCGUGCGUAGACGGUUAUUUAAGUCAGGUGUGAAAGCCCCGGGCUCAACCUGGGAAUUGCAUUUGAGACUGAAUAGCUAGGGUGCGGAAGAGGGAAGCGGAAUUUCCGGUGUAGCGGUGAAAUGCGUAGAUAUCGGAAGGAACAUCAGUGGCGAAAGCGACUUCCUGGACCAAUACUGACGCUCAUGUGCGAAAGCGUGGGGAGCAAACAGG
rnacentral:rRNA from 1 species